rnacentral:misc_RNA from 1 species
AAACCAAUAAACCCCAUCGUGGGUUUGUGCUGGGCCCCGCACAGAGGUGCGCCGCCUCAAAGCCAUGGUCUAACCUGCGGACGAGCUCCUCUAGGACCUGCCGUGGGUCGACCCCCCUCUCUCUGA